GACGAACGCUGGCGGCGUGCUUAACACAUGCAAGUCGAACGGAAAGGCCCUGCUUUUGUGGGGUGCUCGAGUGGCGAACGGGUGAGUAACACGUGAGUAACCUGCCCUUGACUUUGGGAUAACUUCAGGAAACUGGGGCUAAUACCGGAUAGGAGCUCCUGCUGCAUGGUGGGGGUUGGAAAGUUUCGGCGGUUGGGGAUGGACUCGCGGCUUAUCAGCUUGUUGGUGGGGUAGUGGCUUACCAAGGCUUUGACGGGUAGCCGGCCUGAGAGGGUGACAGGCCACAUUGGGACUGAGAUACGGCCCAGACUCCUACGGGAGGCAGCAGUGGGGAAUAUUGCACAAUGGGCGGAAGCCUGAUGCAGCAACGCCGCGUGCGGGAUGACGGCCUUCGGGUUGUAGACCGCUUUCGCCUGUGACGAAGCGUGAGUGACGGUAAUGGGUAAAGAAGCACCGGCUAACUACGU
rnacentral:rRNA from 1 species